UUCCCGUACGAUCACCGAAGUUAAGCAACGUCGAGUCUGGUCAGUAGCUAGAUGGGUGACCGCUUGGGAAUACCAGGUGCUGUAAG